AGCGAUGUGUUGUGCGAAUGUAGCCUUGACCGCUGGUCAGUGUGGAUAAGUAGUGAUCUUUGAUCAAUGUCCACGGAUGCCAAGCUGUCGCAAAUGUUUAACUUCAUCAUCUGUCUGGCCAUCGGAAUAAUUCUGGUACCGAUAGAGAAGGUUGCGGGUGUGAGUACCACCUUGGGUACACACUUUCUGAUUGCAUUGCCGCCUCCAUCCGGCAUUGCACCAAGUGACAAGUGGGAGAUCUCGUUUUUUCUUUU